CACUGCUGAUUACCUGGAUCAGGUGUGUUCAUUACCUGGGGUUCAUGUGCAACAACCACAGCAAGAGACCAGCCUGAUUUACUGACGGGACCCCACAAUCACAACAUCCUUAGCAUUAAAUUAUAAUAUGCUAACGGUGCACUGCUCUUGUGUUAUCAUAGAAACAUGCUCUUACAUUUAUAUGGUGUUUUUCCUUGUACUCCUGGUAGGAAGUCCUUAAUGAGGCUACUAAAAUCCAAUUGCGCUGAAUCUGCUGAUGUUUCCACAUCAGCUGCUUACUGUUGUUUUCGGGGCGGAGAUGGACCGAACAACCUAUGAUACUGUUCAGAAAUCAGCUGAGCGACACCUCUGAACCACUUCAGCAAAAAAAAAACUGUUUUUUUGAACGUGUCUCAGCCUAGUCGCUCGCAGUCAGGCUCAGUGGAUUCACCUGCAUGUUUCUGCCCCUGUCUAACCACUGCUGGGACCCUGGGACGCACAGCUGCAGUUGCAGCCUCGGUCUUUUGUGCCCUAAUAAGGCCGUCCUGGCGGGAUUGGUGGAGCAUGGGACAUGACUAAUUCCUGGGCAGUGCUGUUGUACAUGUCUGCGUGUGUGUGGCUGUGCUUCUCCCUCCUCUCUUCGCCUGUCAGCUCAGAUGUCAGUGGACUCUGUGGUCAACGGAACAGCAUCACUGGCAGGAGGCGGUUGCCAUGAUGCAGAAACAACGCUGAUCUAAACUCUGCUGUUGUUUCUACCUGGGACCCCUUUCGGCAGCAAGAGCUAGAAGAUAAACUCCCUUCCUGAUUAUUUGUUGUUGGCUUCAAAGUGAAGAUGCAGUGAUGGGGGGUGAACAGAGACUUGUAUUAGCUGUGAAUCAACACUCCUCUCUGGACGCUGUUUCAACUUGGCUGCUUCAUUUGAUCCAAACAACAGGCUCUCAAGCUCCAAGUGCAGUUUGUUCAGACAUGCUGCUGAGUAUCUGCAGUCUACACCAAGAAGCCAUCAGGAGAAUGGAUUUGGCAGCACUUGUGUUUGUGGUCUGUUGGAUCAGGGAGCUCUAGGAGCAGAAAUGAGUCAAACAUACAUGGAGCUCGGAGUACACUUUGACCUCUGACCCCAAGGUCAAAGCUGCCUGGAUAAUAAAACCCAUUAGACCCUG